rnacentral:rRNA from 1 species
GGCGGACGGGUGAGUAACACGUGGACAAGUCUGCCCCCCGGCCCGGGAUAGCCCAGGGAAACCUGGAUUAAUACCGGAUGAGACGGGACUCGCGAUGGCGGGACCCGGGAAAGGCGCUGCGGCGCCGCCGGGGGGAUGAGUCUGCGUCCCAUUAGCUAGACGGCGGGGUAACGGCCCACCGUGGCGACGAUGGGUAGCCGGCCUGAGAGGGUGGACGGCCACAUUGGAACUGAGACACGGUCCAGACUCCUACGGGAGGCAGCAGCUAAGAAUCCUCCGCAAUGGGCGAAAGCCUGACGGAGCGAACCGCCGCGUGAACGAAGAAGGCCGUGAGGUUGUAAAGUUCUUUUCGGGAGGGGGAACAACCGUGGCAGGGAAUGGCCGCGGGAUGACGUGAAUCCCGGAAUAAGCCCCGGCUAACUACGUGCCAGCCGCCGC